UGUGGUAUCUUGGCUGAGUGGUCUAAGGCACUGGAUUAAGACUCCAGUCUCUUUGGAGGCGUGGGUUCAAAUCCCACUGCUGCCAUAA